CCCUUAGAUGUUCUGGGCCACACGCGCGUUACACUGUGUGGUUGUACUGGGUUUUCUGAUGGAGGUAACUCCUUUUGGUACUCCCGAAAGCCACACGUGAUGGGGAUUGACCUCUGGAAUUAUGGGUCCUGAACGAGGAAUUCCUAGUAAAUGUACUGAAGCAGAGUGCAUUGAUUACGUCCCUGUGAUUUGUACACACCGCCCGUCGCUGUUACCGAUGGAGAGUUUGGUGAGGGGUGGAGAUCGAGAUUGUGAGAUCGUCAGAUUGAAUGAUUGUUUGAGAACUAUUCCAAACCUGAAUUUCUAGAGGAAGCAAAAGUCGUAACA
rnacentral:rRNA from 1 species